GACGAACGCUGGCGGCGUGCUUAACACAUGCAAGUCGAACGGAAAGGCCCUGCUUUUGUGGGGUGCUCGAGUGGCGAACGGGUGAGUAACACGUGAGUAACCUGCCCUUGACUUUGGGAUAACUUCAGGAAACUGGGGCUAAUACCGGAUAGGAGCUCCUGCUGCAUGGUGGGGGUUGGAAAGUUUCGGCGGUUGGGGAUGGACUCGCGGCUUAUCAGCUUGUUGGUGGGGUAGUGGCUUACCAAGGCUUUGACGGGUAGCCGGCCUGAGGGGGUGACCGGCCACAGUGGGACUGAGAUACGGCCCAGACUCCUACGGGAGGCAGCAGUGGGGAAUAUUGCACAAUGGGCGGAAGCCUGAUGCAGCAACGCCGCGUGCGGGAUGACGGCCUUCGGGUUGUAAACCGCUUUCGCCUGUGACGAAGCGUGAGUGACGGUAAUGGGUAAAGAAGCACCGGCUAACUACGUG
rnacentral:rRNA from 1 species